AUAGGCCGUGACUCAAACUCAAGUAGGGAGCGGCCAAAUGCAAAAAUGUGUUAAAGGGCAGCUGAAGAGCUUUUCGGAUGAGCGUUUUACUCAGUUAAAUUGGCCCGAAUGAAUCAUGUGUGUCCCAAAACUCAAAUUACCAAACAUUUUUUUUAAUUGACCAUGUAGUUUUUGAGUUACUGCCAUAGCAACACCAUAGUAACAAGGGACGCGCCUCGCUGCCAGCUGCUACCUGAUGACUUCAUUUCCCCAAGACCUCGCCAGCACUCCAAUACGAAAGGAUGCAUUGCUCACACGAAGGCACAAGACUCUAUAAGUGGCCCAAAAAACCCUUCUUCUGCAAGGAUUUGGUCAAACCUGUUACCUGUGGCACAUAACAGCUGUCUGAGGACUUGAGAAGCAAAAUUGUGAGGAUGUCUGGGCAAUCUCAAGGCGACAAGUCCAUCUCCAAAAGACCUGAAUGUUCCUGUGUCUACCG